rnacentral:misc_RNA from 1 species
GGUAAAUAUUGUCAGCUCAUUUUCAGCGGGGAGUUCACCAAGGCGAUGUCGAAAGAUUGGCACUCGGGCCAUUUCUGUUGUUGGCAGUGUGACGAAUCUCUCACCGGUCAGCGUUAUGUUCUCAAGGAUGACCACCCUUACUGUAUUAAGUGCUACGAGGCUGUCUUCGCUAACACCUGUGAAGACUGCACAGCCAUUAUCGGCAUCGACUCCAAGGAUCUGUCGUACAAGGACAAAACUGGCAUGAGAAAUGUUUCCUAUGCAACAAGUGUCAAGUGUCCCUCGUAGAUAAACAGUUUGGAUCUAAGAUGGACAAGAUAUUCUGCGGCCCCUGUUAUGAUGCCCAGGUUCUUCUGGCUGUGAUGGUUCGCGGGCGAGAUUU